rnacentral:rRNA from 1 species
UACGGAGGAUCCAAGCGUUGUCCGGAUUUAUUGGGCUUAAAGGGUGCGUAGGCGGAUAAUUAAGUCAGUGGUGAAAUCUUGCGGCUCAACCGUAAAAUUGCCAUUGAAGCUGAUUAUCUCGAGUACAGUUGAGGUGGGCGGAAUGUAUCAUGUAGCGGUGAAAUGCUUAGAUAUGAUACAGAACACCUAUUGCGAAAGCAGCUCACUAAGCUGUCACUGACGCUGAGGCACGAAAGCGUGGGGAUCAAACAGG